rnacentral:rRNA from 1 species
AGCUCCAAUAGCGUAUAUUAAAAUUGUUGCGGUUAAAACGCUCGUAGUUGGAUAUCUGCCAAGGGGUUUCGGUCCUUCCCAGUGAAGAAUACGCGAGGCUUCUCUUGGCAUUUAUUUGGAGAUUAUGGUUGUACUUUGUUGUGUAUCAUGAAAUCUGAAUUUUUACUUUGAGGAAAUAAGAGUGUUUCAAGCAGGCUUUUGCCGUGAAUAUGAUAGCAUGGAAUAAUAGCACAGGACCCCUUUCCAAAGCUGUUGGUUUUUGGGACGAGGUAAUCACAAUAAGGAUAGUUGGGGGUAUUCGUAUUUAACUGUCAGAGGUGAAAUUCUUGGAUUUUUUAAAGACGAACUAUUGCGAAGGCAUCUGCCCAGGAUGUUUUUA